rnacentral:rRNA from 1 species
CCGUUGUGGGGUGGGGGUGUAGUCGUUGGGAUGGGUAGGGGAGCGUCGUGCAUCCGGUGAAGCCGCCGAGUGAUCGAGUGGUGGAGGGUGUGCGAGUGAGAAUGCAGGCAUGAGUAGCGAAAGCAGAGUGAGAAACUCUGCCGCCGAAUGACCAAGGGUUCCUGGGCCAGGUUAAUCCGCCCAGGGUGAGCCGGGACCUAAGGCGAGGCCGACAGGCGUAGUCGAUGGACAACGGGUUGAUAUUCCCGUGCCCGUGACAGUGCGCCCGUGCCGAGGCCGGUGAUGCUGACCAUCCGAACCCCUUUCGGUUCCUUCGGGAGCCGUUGUGGGGGGAGCGUGGGACCCGAUCCGGUAGUAGGCAAGCGAUGGGGUGACGCAGGAGGGUAGUCCCGCCAGUGAGUGGUUGUACUGGUGUAAGCCUGUAGCCCGACACCCAGGCAAAUCCGGGUGUCAUGCAGGGUGAGAGGUGACGCGUAGCCGAUUGAGGCGAAGUAGGAUGAUCCCAUGCUGCCGAGAAAAGCCUCUAGCGAGUGCUGUUGCGGCCCGUACCCCAAACCGACACAGGUGGUCAGGUAGAGAAUACCGAGGCGAUCGAGCGAACUGUGGUUAAGGAACUCGGCAAAAUGCCCCCGUAACUUCGGGAGAAGGGGGGCCGCUGCGCUUGAAGCCCUUCGCGGGCUAGGGCGGGGCGGCCGCAGAGGCCAGGCCCAAGCGACUGUUUACUAAAAACACAGGUCCGUGCGAAGUCGCAAGACGAUGUAUACGGACUGACGCCUGCCCGGUGCUGGAACGUUAAGAGGACCUGUUAGUCCCUUCGGGGGCGAAGCGGAGAAUUUAAGCGCCAGUAAACGGCGGUGGUAACUAUAACCAUCCUAAGGUAGCGAAAUUCCUUGUCGGGUAAGUUCCGACCUGCACGAAUGGCGUAACGACUUGGGCGCUGUCUCGACCACAGACUCGGCGAAAUUGCACUACGAGUAAAGAUGCUCGUUACGCGCGGCAGGACGGAAAGACCCCGGGACCUUUACUACAGCUUGGUAUUGGUGCUCGGUUCGGCUUGUGUAGGAUAGGUGGGAGACUGGGAAGCGGUCACGCCAGUGGCUGUGGAGUCGUCGUUGAAAUACCACUCUGGUCGAAUUGGGUGUCUCAACCUCGGGCCAUGAUCUGGUUCAGGGACAGUGCCUGGUGGGUAGUUUAACUGGGGCGGUUGCCUCCCAAAGUGUAACGGAGGCGCCCAAAGGUUCCCUCAGCCUGGUUGGCAAUCAGGUGUUGAGUGUAAGUGCACAAGGGAGCUUGACUGUGAGACAGACAUGUCGAGCAGGGACGAAAGUCGGGACUAGUGAUCCGGCACCUCCUGGUGGAAGGGGUGUCGCUCAACGGAUAAAAGGUACCCCGGGGAUAACAGGCUGAUCUUGCCCAAGAGUCCAUAUCGACGGCAUGGUUUGGCACCUCGAUGUCGGCUCGUCGCAUCCUGGGGCUGGAGUAGGUCCCAAGGGUUGGGCUGUUCGCCCAUUAAAGCGGUACGCGAGCUGGGUUUAGAACGUCGUGAGACAGUUCGGUCCCUAUCCGCCGCGCGCGCAGGAGACUUGAGGAAGGCUGUCCCUAGUACGAGAGGACCGGGACGGACGAACCUCUGGUGUGCCAGUUGUCCCGCCAGGGGCAUGGCUGGUUGGCUAUGUUCGGAAGGGAUAACCGCUGAAGGCAUCUAAGCGGGAAGCUCGUUCCAAGAUGAGGUCUCCCACCACCUUGCGUGGGUAAGGCCCCCAGCAGAUCACUGGGUUGAUAGGCCAGAGAUGGAAGCUCGGUAACGGGUGGAGUCGACUGGUACUAAUAGGCCGAGGGCUUGCCAUAACA